AGUGAACGCUGGCGGUAGGCCUAACACAUGCAAGUCGAACGGCAGCACAGUAAGAGCUUGCUCUUACGGGUGGCGAGUGGCGGACGGGUGAGGAAUACAUCGGAAUCUACUUUUUCGUGGGGGAUAACGUAGGGAAACUUACGCUAAUACCGCAUACGACCUACGGGUGAAAGCAGGGGAUCUUCGGACCUUGCGCGAUUGAAUGAGCCGAUGUCGGAUUAGCUAGUUGGCGGGGUAAAGGCCCACCAAGGCGACGAUCCGUAGCUGGUCUGAGGGGAUGAUCAGCCACACUGGAACUGAGACACGGUCCAGACUCCUACGGGAGGCAGCAGUGGGGAAUAUUGGACAAUGGGCGCAAGCCUGAUCCAGCCAUACCGCGUGGGUGAAGAAGGCCUUCGGGUUGUAAAGCCCUUUUGUUGGGAAAGAAAAGCAGCAGGUUAAUACCCCGCUGUUCUGACGGUACCCAAAGAAUAAGCACCGGCUAACUUCGCG
rnacentral:rRNA from 1 species